ensembl:lncRNA
AGAGGAGUGUGCAGGGGAGUGUGUAGGAGUGUGUACUAGUGUGUAGAUGUGUGUAGGGGAGUGUGUAGGAGUGUGUAUUAGUGUGUAUUAGUGUGUAGGAGUGUAGAGGAGUGUGUAGGGGAGUGUGUAGGAGUGUGUAGGAGUGUGUAGGGGAGUGUGUAGUAGUGUAUAGGAGUGUGUAGGAGAGUGUAGGAGUGUGUAGGGGAGUGUGUAGGAGUGUAGGAGUGUGUAGGGGAGUGUGUAGGAGUGUAGAGGAGUGUGUAGGGGAGUGUGUAGGAGUGUGUAGGACUGUAAGGGAGUGUGUAGAGGAGUGUUAAUCCCUUAAUUUAUUCAUCUACAGUGUGUACUGCAGUGUGCAGGAGAGUUUGAUAUUACUGCCAUCUAAUGGACAGAUCAAACAACUACGGCACUUUUAAUGGGAACAGCACACACCUUUACAACUUCACCAUCAUCUAUGGUUUAGAUGUCAAAUG